rnacentral:lncRNA from 10 species
GAAGAAUGAGCAGCAGUAGUAGUUUUUAUUGCAUAUUUCACAUAGCUUAGCAAGCAGUCUAUACAUGUUCUAGUCUGCUCUGUCCAAUGCAAUAGCCAUUAACACAUGUGGCUAUUGAGCACUUGAAAAGCGACCGAAUAAAGACAAGCUAGAGGAGAGAACCAAAGCCCAAUGAAGCUUGGUCACUUGCUGGUAAGUGCCUGACAUUGAUGAGUACCUUGCCAAGAAGUGUCAGGCAGCAGCUGACACCAAUCUAAAGAGAGAAGAAGAAAUUCUGAGCCUUUCUAUGAGGACGCUGCCUGGGCUUAGUAUACCUGCUUGCCUGAGAAAUUGUGAGAAGAAAGGAAAUGAACAUAGUAACAGGCCAGCCACUGCCAAAAUGAUACACUAUUAGCCACGCCAGCACUUCCAAAAUUAAGAUCUGCACAAAGUGAAGAAAGAAGAACCCCAGGUUGGCAUGGAACAUGUUCAUAGCCUCUGCGAUGCUCCACAAUUCUUGGAAAUCUUUUACCAACUGGGACUAUGAAAUAAAUAUUCAAAGAGUAAAUUAGCUCUUUCAGGGGAAAGGGAAUACAGAUGAACAUAAUUAAUAAUUUAUUUUAUUAAUUUUGUAUACAUCUCUUUUAUUAAUAGAAUUUUAUUAAUACAUUUAAUUGUCCAGAAUUAAAACCCCAAAACAAUGAACCAGC